rnacentral:rRNA from 1 species
GACGGAGGAUGCAAGCGUUAUCCGGAAUGAUUGGGCGUAAAGCGUCCGCAGGUGGCAGUUCAAGUCUGCUGUCAAAGACCGGGGCUUAACUUCGGAAAGGCAGUGGAAACUGAACAGCUAGAGUAUGGUAGGGGCAGAGGGAAUUCCUGGUGUAGCGGUGAAAUGCGUAGAGAUCAGGAAGAACUCGGUGGCGAAGGCGCUCUGCUG